rnacentral:rRNA from 1 species
UCGUAACAAGGUUUCCGUAGGUGAACCUGCGGAAGGAUCAUUAGUGAAUGCCCUCACGGGCUUAACUAUCCAACCAACCUCUGUGAACUGUCGCCCUCGGGCGCUUCUAUAACAAACUAUAACUGUCAUGAACGUCGUAUACAAAAACAAACACAACUUUCAACAACGGAUCUCUUGGCUCUCGCAUCGAUGAAGAACGCAGCGAAAUGCGAUAAGUAAUGUGAAUUGCAGAAUUCAGUGAAUCAUCGAAUCUUUGAACGCACCUUGCGCCCUCUGGUAUUCCGGAGGGCAUGCCUGUUUGAGUGUCAUGUAGACUCAACCCCCCUGGUUUAUGAUCGGGAAGGGUUGGAUGUGGGCGCUGCCGAUUGCCGGCUCGCCUUAAAUGUCUUAGCGGCUCAGAAGCCCCGACCUAGCGUAAUAAGUUUCGCUGGAGAGGGUGUGGAUGACUGCUUACAACCGCCCUCGGGCAAUCUUUUGACUCUGGCCUCAAAUCAGGUAGGACUACCCGCUGAACUUAAGCAUAUCAAA